rnacentral:lncRNA from 1 species
GUAUACUUUAUCAUUAUAUAGAGGAUCAAUCAGUUACCAUACAUUAUGUGUAACAUAUACAUACUUAUCACUGGUUCUCCAUCACUCGAACAUAGAACGACAUACAUGAGUACUUUAGAACCCUACUACCACCCAAACACGGAACGGUCAGGGCACGUAGCUCACACUAUUUCCCUGUACACCCAAACAUUAAAUGAUCAUAUAUGGGUAUGUACUUAUAACGAUGUCAAUAUACCCAAACGCGGAAC